rnacentral:rRNA from 1 species
AUUGAACGCUGGCGGCAGGCCUAACACAUGCAAGUCGAACGGAGUGGCGGACGGGUGAGUAAUGUCUGGGAAACUGCCCGAUGGAGGGGGCUAACUACUGGACACAGUAGCUAAUACCGCAUCCUAUCAGAUGAGCCUGGGUCGGAUUAGCUAGUUGGUGGGGUAAAGGCCUACCAAGGCGACGAUCCGUAACUGGUCUGAGAGGAUGAUCAGUCACACUGGAAUUGAGACAAGGCCCAGGCUCAGACGGUAGGCAGGAGUGGGGAAAAUUGGACAAGUGGCUAGAGCCUGAUCCAGCCAAGCCGCGUGUGGGAAGAAGGUCUUGGGAUUGUGAAGCUAUUUAAGUUGGGAGGCGUUACCAACAGAAUAAGCACCGGCUAACUUCGUGCCAGCAGCCGCGGUAAUUC